rnacentral:rRNA from 1 species
ACAGAGGUCCCGAGCGUUGUUCGGAUUCACUGGGCGUAAAGGGUGCGUAGGUGGUUGGGUAAGUCUGAUGUGAAAGCUCGAAGCUUAACUUCGAAACGGCAUUGGAUACUAUCCGGCUUGAGGAUCGGAAGGGGGACUGGAAUUCUCGGUGUAGCAGUGAAAUGCGUAGAUAUCGAGAGGAACACCAGUGGCGAAAGCGAGUCCCUGGACGAAACCUGACACUGAGGCACGAAAGCUAGGGGAGCAAACAG